UACGGGGGGAGCAAGCGUUGUUCGGAUUUACUGGGCGUAAAGGGCGCGUAGGCGGUCACUACAAGUCAGUUGUGAAAUCUCUGGGCUUAACUCAGAACGGUCAACUGAUACUGUUGGACUAGAGUGCAGAAGGGGCAACUGGAAUUCUCGGUGUAGCGGUGAAAUGCGUAGAUAUCGAGAGGAACACCUGCGGCGAAGGCGGGUUGCUGGGCUGAUACUGACGCUGAGGCGCGAAAGCCAGGGGAGCGAACGGG
rnacentral:rRNA from 1 species